rnacentral:lncRNA from 1 species
AAGAAUUUAUUUAUGGAGCGAAACUAUUUUGAAGGAGCAGUUCCUAUUCUACCACUCUCCAUCAACAACUUUGCUGCGACAAUCAAUAGAUUCACAGGGAGAAUACCUCUUUCAAUAUGCAAUUGUAGGUCGCUUACGCAUUUAUGGCUUCCUUACAACAACCUCACGGGUCCAAUCCCUCAAUGCUUGAGUAACUUGACGGUUUUGAAUCUCCGGAAGAACAACUUGGAAGGAAGUAUCCUUGAGGCAUUUUAUGUCGGUGCUUCUCUACAAACACUUGAUGUUGGACACAAUCGACUAACCGGGAAACUUCCAAGAUCUCUUCAGAAUUGUUCAUCUCUCGAGUUUCUAGCUGUUGACCACAACAUAAUCAAAGACAAGUUUCCUUUUUGGCUCAAGGCUUUACCAAAUUUGCAAGUCCUUAUCCUCAGUUCAAACAAAUUCUAUGGAUCUAUAUCUCCUCCUGGUCAAGGUCCUCUCGGGUUUCCAGAGCUGCGUAUAUUUGAGAUAGCUGAUAAUAAGUUUACUGGAAGCUUGCAACCGAGAUAAUUUGUCAAUUGGAAAGCAUCGUCCCUUAUGAUGAAUGAAGAUGGUGGUCUAUAUAUCGCACGGGAACUCAUUUUAUAAAAAAUAUAUUAUAAUCUAUAAUAUAUAAUUUUAUAUGCCUGAUAAAAAAAUUAAACCAUAUAAAUAAUUAAAUUUAAUUUUGAUGAUUAAAAUAUGAUUUACAAAGUAUUCAAAUAUAUAUAUAUAAAAAAUAUAUAUAUAUAUUUUAUAAACCUUAAUAUUCCCUUUAAUUUUUUAUCAAAACACAUAUUGCAUACAAUUGUGUCUUCAUUCUUUUUAAAUUUUUUCAUACAUUUUUCACAUGAUAGUUAUCUUCAACCACUUUUUGAACAAAAUGCAAUUUUUUUUUUUGCAUGAUAUAUAAUUUUUUUCCUAUUUAAGACAUAAUAUUAAAAUUAUUAGUUUAUAAUUUUAAACAAUUAUAAUUUGUAUGUUGGUAAUUGUUAUUUUGUAUAUUUAUCUACCUGCUUUAUUUAUUGAAAAUGAAUAUUCAGAAAAUUGAAUAUUGUAAUAAAUAUAUGUUGAUUUACGUUAAUAUGACAUGUCUCAUUUAAAAUAUUUUUUUUUUAAUUUUUGGGAGAGUUCUCAUAAAAUACCAACACUUAUUAUAUAAACUAACACAUUACUUAAAUAAAACCUAUAUUUUUUAAAGCAAUCCCACUUUGAGGUGAAAAGACACUUUGUUUAGAUGAAAAAUUGCAACUUUGACAUUAUUUUUUUCACCAUUUUAUUAUUAGUAGAUUAGUGAAAAUUUGAUUUGAAAAAUGUAUGGGAGAGACUAUUUAUAGAUUUUUUAAAGUCUAUUUGAAUAGUCACAACCCUUCAAUAUGAAUAGUUGCAUUCUUUUAACACUCACAACUUCUCAUUUUUUAAAAGAUACUAGUGAAUAGUCACAACUUUUAGACUAUUUUUAGAAGGACACAACCUUACAACAUAUAACUUUUAGAAAAGACACAACUCUCUACACAUAUUUUUCAAAAGACACAACCUUUCAACAUAAUUGAAGUUCACAACCUUAGGAAUUAAUUGGAAAAGACACAACCUUACUACAUAGAACUUUUAGAAAAGACACAACCCUUUACACUACUUUUUCAAAAGACACAACCUUUCAACAUAAGUGUAUUCACAACCUUAGAAAUUAAUUGUAAAAGACACAACCUUCCAACAUAGAACUUUUAGAAAAGACACAACCCUUUACACUUCUUUUUCAAAAGAUACAAUCUUUCAACAUAAGUGGACUCACAACCUUUAGAAUUAAUUGGGAUUGCUAUUAUUAGCAGAUAAGAAACUCUUGUGAGAAAGUGUACUGCUAAUGAUGCUCUUAGUGGGCGACACAUGUAGGGUCUUCUGAUGUCUUUCCCAAGUUAUACGUUUGAAAAAUCAAGUAACUUUAGCGCCAUUAAGUUCUCCAAUCAAAAAUAGCGUAGCUCUCUAUCUUUUUCCAAGUCACGUUGUGUGUGGUGACAUAUCUUUAUUUAUACCACCAACCCUCUCUCUCAUUUUUCUUAAACCAAAACAAUUCUUCUUCAAUACUUUUUCAUAAAGACCAUGUCUGAAUCCCAUUUGCAUUUGCAUUUUCUCUCGCUACUUUUGCUCUGUUAUGUCUCCCCUUCAAGCUUCUCCAGUUUAAACAUCGACUAUAGUAGCUAUGUUGCUUGUCGUCCCUAUCAAACUCAAGUUCUCACUGAGUUCAUGAACGAGUUUGAUAGCAGCCACUGCAACCUCAGUGAUCCCUAUAACAGAGUCUGGUGCGAUAACUCUACCGGUGCGGUCACAAUGCUACGACUAAGAGCCUGCCUCAGUGGAAACCUUAAGCCCAACAGUAGCUUAUUCAGGUUACAUCAUCUUCGUUACCUUGACCUCUAUCAAAACAACUUCAUCUCAGCUACACUUCCUUCUGAAUUUGACAAUCUCAACAGGUUAGAGGUCUUAUAUCUUUCCAAUAAUAGCUUUGUAGGCCAAGUUCCUUCCUCAUUUAAUAACCUAAGCCUUCUUUCCUAUUUAGACCUUUCCCAAAAUGAUCUCACCGGUAGUUUCCCACUCUUACGGAAUCUAUCAAAGCUCUCGUUUUUAGACCUUAACAAUAAUCAUUUCUCUGGAACUCUGAAUCCAAACAUUACUAGCCUGUUUGAGUUGUACAACCUCCGUUACCUUGAUCUAAGUUACAACAACUUCAGUUCAUCACUCCCUUCUGAGUUUGGAAAUCUCAACAAACUUGAGAUCUUGGCUCUUCAGUCCAGCGACUUUUUCGGGGAAGUUCCUCCCACAAUUAGUAACUUAACCUCGUUAACAGAAUUAUACCUUGAUGACAACCAGCUCACUGGUAGUUUCCCACUUGUGCAAAAUCUUACCAUGCUCUCCGUUAUAGAAAUCGCUGAUAAUCACUUCUCUGGAACCAUUCCUUCUUCUCUCCUCACUAUGCCUUCCUUAUUAGUUCUCAAACUGCGUGGAAAUAAUCUCACGGGAUCUAUUAAAUUUCCUAACUCCUCUACCCCGUCUAGGCUCGAGUACUUGUACCUUGGGAAAAACCAUUUCGAAGGAAAAAUCAUAGAGCCUAUCUCAAAGCUCAUCAACCUCAAGCUUCUUGACCUUUCUUUGCUAAACACAAGUUACCCGAUUGACUUAAACCUCUUCUCCUCUCUUGAAUCUUUGUUGCACCUUGAUCUUUCUGGUAACAGUAUAUCUCCAGCCAGUUUAGAUUCAAAGUCAGACAUCCCAAUAAACCUGGAGAUUUUGUGGUUACAAGGCUGCGGCAUCAAAGAGUUCCCAAAUAUCUUAAAGAUCCUUGAGAAGUUGGAGUAUAUAGACAUUUCGGGAAAUAUAAUCAAAGGAAAAGUCCCCGAGUGGCUAUGGAAGCUUCCUCGUCUAAACACCGUGUUUUUAACAAAUAACUCGUUUAAUGGUUUGGAAGGUCCAGUGGAUGUUUUGGUAAAUUCAUCUGUGAAGAAUUUAUUACUAGGGCAGAACCAUUUUGAAGGAACAAUUCCUCUCCUACCACUCUCUAUCAACGUCUUCUCUGCGUCAGGCAAUAGAUUCACAGGGAGCAUACCUCUUUCAAUCUGCAACUAUAGAUCUCUCACGCAAUUGAAGAUAGGUUACAACAACCUCACGGGUACAAUCCCUCAAUGCUUGAGUAACUUUACGUUUGUGAAUCUUCGGAAGAACAACUUGGAAGGGAGUAUUCCUGACGCCUUUCAUAUCAGUUCUUCUCUAAAGACACUUGACGUUGGACACAAUCUACUCACCGGGAAACUUCCAAGAUCUCUUCAAAAUUGCUCAUCUCUAGAGUUUCUGGUUGUUGACCACAACAGAAUCAAAGACAAGUUUCCUUUUUGGCUCAAGUCUUUAUCAAAUUUGGAAGUACUUAUCCUCAGUUCUAACAAGUUAUAUGGAUCUAUAUCUCUUCCUGGUCAAGGUCCUCUCGGGUUUCCAGAGUUACGUAUAUUUGAGAUAUCUGAUAAUAAGUUUACUGGAAGCUUGCCACCAAGAUAUUUUGAGAACUGGAAAGCGUCGUCACUUAUGAUGAACGAAGAUGGUGGUCUGUAUAUGGUAUACACAAAGGCUACUUCGGGGAGGCUGUCCUAUUUCAAUAUAGAAGCUAUAGAUUUGAAAUACAAAGGUCUAUCAAUGGAGCAAGGGAGGGUCCUUACCUCAUACGCCACUAUUGAUCUUUCUGGGAAUAGAAUUGAAGGACAGAUUCCUGAAUCAAUUGGUCUUUUGAAAGCAUUGAUUGCACUCAACUUAUCAAACAACGCCUUCACAGGCCAUAUUCCUCUGUCUCUCUCCAAUCUUGGCAAGCUCGAGUCACUAGACCUAUCAAGCAACCAACUCUCAGGGACUAUUCCUAAUGGAAUCGGGAGCCUCUCUUUUUUGGAGUACAUAAAUGUGUCUCACAACCAACUCAAGGGAGAAAUACCACAAGGAACACAGAUUACCGGCCAACCUAAGUCUUCAUUUGAAGGGAAUGCAGGGCUUUGUGGUCUUCCUCUCCAGGAAACUUGCUUUGGGACUAUUGCGCCACCAACACAGCAACCCAAGGAAGAAGAAGAAGGAGAAGAGGAAGAAGUGUUGAACUGGAAAAGCGUGGCAAUAGGGUAUGGAACUGGAGUGUUGCUUGGACUUGCAAUAGCACACCUCAUUGCAACAUAUAAACCGGAGUGGCUCGUUAAGAUAAUUGGUCCGAACAAGCGCAGAAGCCUUUAGGAGUGUUUUUAGUUUGAGUAUGAUAUGAACCUUCAAUGUAUGUCAAGUGGUUGAUGUGAUUCCUCUUGUAUGGAAGCAUCUCUUUAUGUUUGUUGUAUCAUUGUCUGAUGCUUUGUUUCUAUUUCGUUUUCUAUAAAAUAAGAAGGGUGAACGUUUUGUAGUCAAUUUCAUGUGCAUCUCUCUUUUUUUUCCUCUACUGAGUAAAAUGGCAGACGGAAGGAAGAUGGUAAAAGGGGGUCAUAUUGGGAUUUAGUAGUAUUCAAUAAGAAGAAGCCAAUAAACUGUUGAGACCUAAUGGGAUAGAGACAACUAAUAUAUUAAAUGGCCGUUUUGUAUAGAAAGCUUUGUGAUUAUGUCACUUAUUAAUUUGAAGUUGCCUGUAAGAAAAUGAUUGCUGUAGAAAGAAAUUUGAGAAAGUUUCAGAUCAGAGAGAUUGUCAGAACAGGAAAGGUAGUGGAUUGUUGGACUAUAUGACUUUCUGAAAAUCAUGUUAUCAUCCAGUUUCUGCUUUCUACUACAUCUUUGAGUGGACAUAAACACAUAGAUCUCCUGGACUUUCCUUAACUUUUGGAAUAUGGAAUGAUGAUUUUUAAUAACAGAUAGCACUGAGAAGGGAAAAGAUGGGUGCUACUGCUCCAUUUUGGCGAUUCUCAGCAGCUUCCUAUCCAGAUCUCAAGGAGCAAGCACCUGGUCAGUGUGAGAGAGAUAAGAACAAUGCCUGAAUGUUGUAUCCCCUGGUCUCACAUAGUAUUUUUUACUGACACACUGACCAAUCUUCUUUUUCUAUUUUUUUUUGGUUUAGAGUUUGGCUGUAGGACAUGCUGAAACAGAGGGAAUUUCACGCAUUACAACAGUUGUUCCUGCGACAGAUGAAUCAGUCAGCAAAUUGGUGCAGCAACUUUACAAACUCAUAGAUGUGCAUGAGGUUAGGAUAAAAAAAAAAUCAAUUGUCUUUAGGAUUAUAUAUAACAGUUUGAAUGCUCUUGUUGACUCUACCCUUUGCUCUUUUACCUUUUGCUAUUUCUGUUAACUGCAGGUCCAUGCUCUUACUCAUAUGCCAUUUGCUGAAAGAGAACUGAUGCUGAUUAAGAUUGCUGUGAACGCUGCUGCGAGAAGAGAUGUCCUGGACAUUGCUAGUAUUUUCAGGGCUAAAGCUGUUGACGUUUCCGACCAUACAAUUACUUUGCAGGUAGAUUGCAUUCAUCAUUAACUGGAUUUCUAUUUGAGGUGUAGUUGCACAUCACAUGAAAUAUCUUUAUCCAUUGGAGUACCGUUUGACAUAAUCUAUGAAGCAGACUUCAGUUUUCCAUCCGAAUCCCUUUCUCCCUUAGUUUUUUUUUGGUAUUUGUUGCUGAAAAUUGUUUGCUGUGGAAUUACCUUACUGGGGAUCUUGACAAGAUGGUUGCACUACAAAGGUUGUUGGAGCCCUACGGUAUAUGCGAGGUUAGUUUUCAUCUCUUACUAGAUGUUAUAAUCUUGGCGCUAAUAAAUAAGUCUGGUAAAAUAAAAAACCAAAGCCUGACACAUUUUUCUAAUGUCUUCUGAACAAAAAUCAGUUUGAGAAGUGUUGUUGUUACUUGUAUUAUAACUUGUACAUCGUGUUGAUCUUUACUAAUGAACAAUCAAUCAAUCACAGGUUGCAAGAACAGGGCGUGUGGCGUUGGCUCGUGAAUCAGGAGUGGACUCUAAGUAUCUUCGUGGAUACUCUUUUCCCUUAACAGGUUAACAAGUCAAUCGCAGAGUUGGAUACAAAACCUGUAUCCAUGGAACAGAUUUUUGAAGAUAAAAGUUUCAUCAAAUAUUUUGCAAGCCAACCAAAGUCUAGCCAGAGAGAGACUGUGUGUAGAUAUGUUUGGGACUUUGUUUAUUUUAUAAUUAGCAGAUUUUUGAAUUUUGUGACUUCAUUUCAGUUCAUUUAUUUUGAGAAUAAACUGUUGUUGGGAUUAAUAUUACUGUGAUGAUAUCUAACAGCAUAGUUUCUUAGUGGGCAAUUUUUUCAAAUAGUCAUUGUUAAAUUUUGGUCACCAAAAUAGCUCUGAAAAAAAAAAUCAAAUCACUAUUUUUUAUUUUGAAAAUUUUAAUUUUAAUUUGAAACCCAAUCUUCUAAACUCCAUUUUUAACUCUGAACUUUAAAUUUUAACGGGCAAUUGUCAAUAAUAGCACAUUUUGAAGUUUAUGUCUCAAAAAUAGCACUAGAAGGAGAAAGUCACAAAAAUGACAUUCAUUAAAGGGUAAAAUGUCCAUAAUAUCCUUGGUUUAAAUUAAAUAAACAAACAAAAAUAAAAAAAAAAUAAAUAAAAAAUAAAAAAUAAAAAUAAAUUUUUUUAUAGUUUCAGAUUAUAUGUUUUCAGAUUCGAAAUUUUUAUAAUUUUUUUUUUAAAAAAAAUUUUGAAUUUUUUUGAAUUUUUUUUCAAAUUUUAUUUUUAUAGUUUAAAAAUAAUUUUUGAAACUGUUUUAAAAAUUUUUAUUUUUUAUUUUAGUAUUUGUUUUUUAUAAAAUUUUAAACCCUAAUUCCAAAACCCCACCCCCUUAACUCUAAACCUUAAGGUUUGGAUUAAUUAACCCAAGGGGUAGAAGUGUAUAUUUACCUCUUUAAUGAAACCUAUUUUUGUGACUUUGAACUUUGAGUGCUACUUUGGGAACAAAAACUUGGUUUGAUGAUAUCCUAGUCUUUUUCUCAAUUCUAAAUUUAGAUUAAUUAACUCUAAGGAUAUGAAUGUAUAUUUAUUUUUUAAUAAAAUAUUUUUAGUUAUUUUCUUCUUUUAAGUGCUAUUUUUAUUUAAAAAAAAACUAAAAAACGUUGUUUUAUGGAGUUUUUCUUUCUUAAUUCCUACAGAAAAAUUACGAGAGAAAAGAAUAACUACAGAAAAAUCUCACCAGAAUACUUGGACUCUUAAAUCAUGUCAUCUUUCUAUUGGUACAAUUAUUUUUAAAGUAUUUACGUAACUAAAUCAUUUUGGAAUAUCAAUAUACUAAAGUUCAGAAAUUCAUUUGGAAAAUAUCCUUUAGUAAUGAUGCUUAAAUUAGGGCUUGGCACAAGGUGGUUACUCGCUAUUUUAGUUGCACUUGGGAUUUGACUUUCUUUGUACGAGUGAUAAAAUUUUCGACUUGUACUUAAUUUGUUAAAAAUGAAUACUUGAUCAAAAAUGAAUUACUUGCAAGUUAUUUACCUGGCUUUAUUAUUUAUUAUUUACAAGCACUUGUGAACUAUUUACAAGUUUUUUCGAGUAUUUAAGAACUACUUGCUAAAUAAUAAUCUAUUAGAAAUAGACAUGAAAGUUUGUUUUAUUUAUUCUACUUAACAUAACAUCUUAAUUACUUUAAACGAAAUAUUUGUUCAUAUAUAAAGAAGAAAAAAAAAAUAUAUAUGAAUAUAUCAAUAUAUAAACAUUGCAUAAUUUUUAUGAUGACAAAAAUGUCUUUUCUAAACAAGUAACAUAUAAUAACAAGUCAUGUAGUUAAGUUUUUAAUACUUGUUACUAUAUAAUACUUAACGAGAUGAUGAGGAAUAUUUAAAAAUCUUGAUCAAGACAUAUAUGAAAUAAGUAAUAAGUAUAAGAAGAGUAAUGAGUGUUUGUGUCCAAUUCUAAAUACAACUAAAAGAAAAGACAAAUAUAAAUAAGUAUUUAAUAGAUCAUAUAACAAAUAGUAAUGAGGCAAGUAACGAAUCAAGUACUAAAAAUAAUAAUGAUACUUGAUACUUGACUUGGUUUUGGAAGUAAUAAAAAUUGUCGACUUGUUACUUGCUUUGGCAACACCGAAUACUUGAAUUUUUAAGGCGGGUACGAGUCAAGUAACAAAUUUAAGUAAUGAUGUUCAACCCUAGAUUUAAUGACUUAAAAGCACAGAUGGGACUGAUUUUGUAAAUGUUUUGGAUUGGAGAGUCAAAUUAAAGCAUUGACUGAACCGGUUAUGUUAUUGAUAAUAUGUCCAUACUUAUCUUCUAGUAAGAAAUUUGAUUUGCUUACGGUAUUAAAUUAUGUAUUUAGAAAAAUAAAACAGACCCAACGGGACUUAGUGUCUCUUCGGAACAGUAAAAAUAUAUUAAAUUCGGCUCCAAAGCAGAACAAAUCCCACAAAUAUACAAAGUAACGUCACUGGUUCCACCAGCAACACCAUAUAGACCACUGUAAUCGAUUUGCAAUACCACAGAAAGAUACAUACAUAUCUAUGACUACAAAAUUAGUUCGCCUUGGAAACUGUUACGCGAAUACAAGGCAUAAGAGAAUCAUAUAUCUACACAAAAUUGGUGAAUUCAUAACAGAGCAACUAUACAAUAAUGUUUAUGCUUUACUCCAAAUCUAAAGCUUUCCUCAUCUUAGAGACUCUCAAUAUUCUUGUAUUUAAGGCUCACACGACUCAGUCCACACCAAACCUCCAGGAAUCUCGAAAAACACCAAAGGAGAUAGAAGAAUCAAUAAAGAUGUUUACAACCCAAAAAAAAGAAUCACAAAGAUGUACCCGCUAAUUCACACGACAAUACAACAGACAGACACCAAAAAACCUAGUGAACAAGUCUCUUGUGAUUAUAAUAUUGGAAACAAUAAAGUAAGAGAGAGAGGGCGAUAAAAAGAACAGAAAGUUGAGCGACGUCUCUUGUACGUGGAACUUUAAGGAAAAGAUGAGAGACUCUUUGUAAUGUGUUUCAUUGUUUAUUGGUUCAUAUUCUCUAUGUUUUUUUUUGUAUCAAAUCUUAUAUGUUUAUAUUUAAUUGUAAAGUAAUUACUUAAUAUUAUAUAGAUAAAAACUCUUGUGAGAAGUGUACCGCUAAUGAUGCACACAAGUUAUACGUUUGAAAAAAUCAACUAACUUUAGCGCCAUUAAGUUCUCCAAUCAAAAAUAUAAAAAAGACUUCACGUAGCUCUCUAUCUUUUUCCAAGUCAAGUUGUGUGUGGUUACAUAUCUUUAUUUAAACCACCAACACUCUCUCUCAUUUUUCUUAAACCAAAACAAUUCUCUUCUUCACUACUAAUUCAUAAAGACCAUGUCUGAAUCCCGUUUGCAUUUGCAUUUUCUCUCGCUACUUUUGCUCUGUUAUGUCUCCCCUUCAAGCUUCUUUAACUUAAACAUCGAUUACAGUAGCUAUGUUGCUUGCGGUCCCCAUCAGACUCAAGUUCUCACUGAGUUCAUGAACGAGUUUGAUAGCAGCCAGUGCAACCUCAGUGAUCCCUAUAACGGAGUCUGUGCGAUAACUCGACUGGUGCGGUCACAAUGCUACGACUCCAGGCGUGUCUCAGCGGAACUCUAAAGCCCAAUAGUAGCCUCUUCAGGUUACACCAUCUUCGUUACCUUUGCACUCAUUCAAAACAACUUCAUCUCAGCUACAAUUCCUUCAGAAUUUGGGAAUCUCAGCAGGUUAGAGGCCUUAUCUCUUAGGAAUAAUAGCUUUGUAGGCCAAGUUCCUUCCUCAUUUAACAGCCUAAGCCUUCUUUCCGUUUUAGAACUUUCCCUAAACGAGCUCACUGGUAGUUUCCCACUUGUGAGGAAUCUAACAAAGCUCUCGGCUUUAAGCCUUGCUGCGAAUCAUUUCUAUGGAACUCUGAAUCCUAAGAGUACUAGCCUGUUUGAGUUGCGCCACCUCCGUUACCUUGAUCUAAGUCAAAACAACUUCACCUCAUCACUCCCUUCUGAAUUUGGAAAUCUCAACAGACUAGAGAUCUUGGCUCUUUCCUCCAAUGACUUUUUCGGGCAAGUUCCUCCCACAAUUAGUAACCUAACCUCGUUAGAGGAAUUGAACCUUCACCACAACCAACUCACUGGUAGUUUCUCACUUGUUCAAAACCUAACCAUGCUUUCAGUUAUAGCAAUCAAUCAUAAUCACUUCUCUGGAGCCAUUCCAUCUUCUCUCUUCACCAUGCCUUUCUUAUCAUAUCUCGAUAUGGGAGACAACGAUCUCACUGAUUCUGUUGAAGUUUACAACUCCUCAUCUACCCUGUCUAGGCUCGAGUACUUGUCCCUUGGGAAUAACCAUUUUGAAGGAAAAAUCAUAGAGCCUAUCUCAAAGCUCAUCAGCCUCAAGAUUCUUGACCUUUCUUUCCUUAACACAAGUUACCCGAUUGAUGUAAGCCUCUUCUCCUCGCUGAAAUAUUUGGUGGACCUUGAUCUUUCCGGUAAUAGUAUAUCUCCGGCCAGUUUAGGUUCAAAUUUAGACAUCCCAAUAAACCUGGAGAUUUUGUUGUUACGAGGUUGCGGCAUCAAAGAGUUCCCAAAUAUCUUAAAGAUCCUUGAGAAGUUGGAGAAUAUAGACUUGUCCGACAACAUAAUCAAAGGCGAGGUCCCGGAGUGGUUAUGGAAGCUUCCUCGUCUAAACACAGUGUUUCUUUCAAAUAAUUCUUUUAAUGGUUUGGAAGGUCCAGUGGAUGUUUUGGUAAAUUCAUCUGUGAAGAAUUUAUUUAUGGAGCGAAACUAUUUUAAAGGAGCAGUUCCUAUUCUACCACUCUCCAUCAACAACUUUGCUGCGACAAUCAAUAGAUUCACAGGGAGCAUACCUCUUUCAAUCUGCAAUUGUAGGUCGCUUACGCAUUUAUGGCUUCCUUACAACAACCUCACGGGUCCAAUCCCUCAAUGCUUGAGUAACUUGACGGUUUUGAAUCUCCGGAAGAAC